GAUUUCUGGAGUGGUGCGGCGAGCCCGCCUCUAGGGGUGAGUGCUUGCCCGCGCCUUCCAUACUUCUGGGUAGCCCCGCUUGCCCUUCACCGGGUGGAGCGGUGUUUUGCCAUCCAGAUCUUUUACUUUGAAAAAAUUAGAGUGUUUAAAGCAGGCGUUUGCUAUGAAUACAUUAGCAUGGAAUAAUAAGAUAGGACUUUGGUUCUAUUUUGUUGGUUUCUAGGACUGAAGUAAUGAUUGAUAGGGACAGUUGGGGGUGCUAGUAUUUAACGGCCAGAGGUGAAAUUCUUGGAUUCGUUAAAGACUAACUUAUGCGAAAGCAUU
rnacentral:rRNA from 1 species